GACGAACGCUGGCGGCGUGCUUAACACAUGCAAGUCGAACGGUGAACGAGGGAGCUUGCUCCCUCCGGAUCAGUGGCGAACGGGUGAGUAACACGUGAGCAAUCUGCCCCUAACUCUGGGAUAAGCUUUGGAAACGACGUCUAAUACCGGAUACGACGCUGGAGGGCAUCCUCUCCUCGUGGAAAGCACUUCUGCUCGGGCUGAGCUGGCGGCCCAUCCGGUUGUUGGUGAGGUAACGGCUCACCACCGCGACGACCGAUAGUCGGCCUGAGAGGGGGACCGGGCACACGGGGACUGAGAGACGGCGCAGACUCCUAAGGGAGGCAGCAGGGGAGAAUAUUGCACAAUGGGCGCAAGCCUGAUGCAGCAACGCCGGGUGAGGGACGACGGCCUUCGGGUUGUAAACCUAUGUGAGCAGGGAAGAAGAGAAAGUGACGGUACCUGCAGAAAAAGCACCGGCUAACUACGUG
rnacentral:rRNA from 1 species